rnacentral:rRNA from 1 species
AGAGUUUGAUCCUGGCUCAGGAUGAACGCUAGCGGCAGGCUUAACACAUGCAAGUCGAGGGGUAACAGGAGUGCUUGCACUCGCUGACGACCGGCGCACGGGUGCGUAACGCGUAUAGAACUUACCUUUUACAGAGGGAUAGCCUUUAGAAAUGAAGAUUAAUACCUCAUAGUAUUGAGACUUGGCAUCGAGUUUCACUUAAAGAUUUAUCGGUAAAAGAUGGCUAUGCGUCCUAUUAGUUAGUUGGUAAGGUAACGGCUUACCAAGGCAGCGAUAGGUAGGGGUCCUGAGAGGGAGAUCCCCCACACUGGUACUGAGACACGGACCAGACUCCUACGGGAGGCAGCAGUGAGGAAUAUUGGGCAAUGGAGGCAACUCUGACCCAGCCAUGCCGCGUGCAGGAAGACGGCCCUAUGGGUUGUAAACUGCUUUUAUACAGGAAGAAACACUGCUACGUGUAGCAGCUUGACGGUACUGUAAGAAUAAGGACCGGCUAACUCCGUGCCAGCAGCCGCGGUAAUACGGAGGGUCCGAGCGUUAUCCGGAAUCAUUGGGUUUAAAGGGUCCGCAGGCGGUCAAUUAAGUCAGAGGUGAAAUCCCAUAGCUCAACUAUGGAACUGCCUUUGAUACUGGUUGACUUGAGUCAUAUGGAAGUAGAUAGAAUGUGUAGUGUAGCGGUGAAAUGCAUAGAUAUUACACAGAAUACCGAUUGCGAAGGCAGUCUACUACGUAUGUACUGACGCUGAGGGACGAAAGCGUGGGGAGCGAACAGGAUUAGAUACCCUGGUAGUCCACGCCGUAAACGAUGGAUACUAGCUGUUCGACCAACAUUGGUUGGUUGAGUGGCUAAGCGAAAGUGAUAAGUAUCCCACCUGGGGAGUACGGUCGCAAGACUGAAACUCAAAGGAAUUGACGGGGGCCCGCACAAGCGGUGGAGCAUGUGGUUUAA